rnacentral:misc_RNA from 1 species
UUUAGAAUAAACCCAGUAAAAAAUACCCAUAAAUUACAACAACUCAUCUCUAACAUCAUUAACAUUAACUACACCAUAUUGAUAUUACAUCUAAAAAUUCUCAGGAUGUUUCAAUCUGUGGUGUGAGUUCUAAAACAUUUUUCACGGCGACUAAAUGAGAAAAUAUGCAGGAGCUCCAAAAACAUGAAACUUCUUGACCAGGAAUGACCUUUGUAGAC